rnacentral:rRNA from 1 species
GAUGAACGCUGGCGGCGUGCCUAAUACAUGCAAGUCGAGCGAACGGACGAGAAGCUUGCUUCUCUGAUGUUAGCGGCGGACGGGUGAGUAACACGUGUAUAACCUACCUAUAAGACUGGUAUAACUUCGGGAAACCGGCGCUAAUACCGGAUAAUAUUUUGAACCGCAUGGUUCAAAAGUGAAAGACGGUCUUGCUGUCACUUAUAGAUGGAUCCGCGCUGCAUUAGCUGGUUGGUAAGGUAACGGGUUACCAAGGCAACGAUGCGUAGACGACCUGAGAGGGUGGUAGGCCACCUUGGAGGUGAGACAGGGUCCAGGGUCCUACGGGAGGCAGCAGUAGGGAAUCUUACGCAAUGGGCGAAAGCCUGACGGAGCAAGGCCGAGUGAGUGAUGAAGGUCUUCGGAGCGUAAAACUCUGUUAUGAGGGAAGAACAUAUGUGUAAGUAACUGUGCCCAUCUUGACGGUACCUAGUAAGAAAGCACCGGCUAACUACGUG